ACCACCCUGCCGGCCUCGGUGGGCCCCGCCUGUGGCGCAGGGCACAGCGCAGGCAGGCGGCCGUCUCGUCAGGGCGCGCGGCCGCCCAGUUUCGUGCUGGCCCCACGCGACCUCGUGCUCCUUUUCCGCCUUGGGCGCCCGCAGCGAGGCCGCAGGAGCACGCAGGAGCACGCAGGAGCACGCAGGAGCACGCAGGAGCACGCAGGAGCACGCAGGAGCACGCAGGAGCACGCAGGAGCACGAGGGCCGCCUAGGGCCCGCCUGGCUAUCCCGCGUCUCUCAGAGAACUCAGGGCCCGAACUGAAGCGCACUUGCGGUUGUGGGUGUUUACAAGCACCUUGGAACUGAAUGGCCGGUGUUGAGGGUCGAUGUGGUCCGGUGACAUUCACAGGUCUCCAGAUCAAGAAUAACUAUAUUCAAGUAAUUGGACUUGAAGACCUUCAUCUGCACAUGAACCUGAUUUGAUAAUGAGAAUCUGAACUUUGAGCUGAUGCUAUGAAGAAAGGAGAGUUUGGGGGACUUGGAAGGAGCACGUUUACAAAGGUUGCAGUGGAAAAGUUGUAAUGUGUGAAGAAAUUAUGUAAAUGAUGAACCCAUAAAACAGAAAGAACAAUCUUAAAAGAAACAAGUCGCUUUGAAAAAACUGGAUAAAGGUGAGCCCCAAAGUUGUCAUAUUAGGACGAGCAACUAUAAAACAUUGAAAGUAAAUCAUAAAUCAUUUAACUCUCACAGAUUUGCCCUCAGAUUGCUUCACAAGUGUCUUUAAGUUCUUGCUCUGCCUUAAAAAAAAAAACUGGAAAAUUGCAGGUGAUGCAUUAAGGGUUGAGCCUGAGUUGUUGAGUAUGAAAUACAAAAUGAGGGAAGAUGCCUUCAAAGGCAAAAAAGUAAUAAAAAUAAAAAUAGUAAAUCCAUACCGUGUUUAAUAUGUGCCAUGGACUCUUCUAGGCACUGGAGAAAUGUCAUUCAUUUUAUUGUCAUAAUUACUCAAUGAAGUGGUAAGUAGUUGAUAUUGUUAGCCCCAUUUUACAAAUGAGGAAACUGAGGUACAUUAACAUUAAGGUCCUUAUGCUGG